rnacentral:lncRNA from 1 species
GAGAGUUCUGCUCUGCUGCACCCGGGCUCUCCAUGCACACCCAGAUCAGGUCAUCUUCAUCAAGGCAUCAACUCAUCUGCCAGUGAGAAGAUUGCCCCUGCACUGCUGAUUCACAAGGACCUUCAGCUCCAGAUUUGAACUGUGGAGACAUCCAACAUUAUGGGCUGAGCAGCUAUCGGUUUCUCAACCCCUCCAGCAUCUAGACAAACACCGUUGGAUAACCCAGGUCAUCUAGAUGGAGCUGCUGCUAUGUGCUUCACAGCUGCAGAAGGAUCUCAAGUCAUCAUUGAUAACAAUCAAGGAUGAACUCUGCUGUUGCCGCCACAGGAAGCCAUUUGUCCAUGAUGAACAACUAGAGACUGUUUGCUUGCGCCGCUUUUCUUACGGCUCCUCUCCUUCAUUCUCAACACCAACCUGAACAUUCUUUACCCAGCAAAUAUCCUAUGCUGAACUACUCUGGACUCAAUAGAAAAAGGAAUUCUGGUCUCUUUCAGCUUUCCAUCACUAUUAAGAAUGGUAUUUCUAUGUGUCAAGUGCACAUGGCUACCCAAGGCUGGCAGAGCCCUAUUGUCUUCUAUACCUAGAAACUUGCUGUUUCUCAGCAAUGUUAGGUGGUCUAUUAAAACAUUUGCAGAAUUAAGUCAAAGCAAAAAUUACUUUUGUCCCAUUUGGCAUACACUAAAAACCACCAAAGCUUUCCAAAUCUCCUUUGAGUAGAAAACUUGCAAAACUGAGAGCAUGACCACCUUUCCUCCAGCUCUCACAGACCACCUCCAGGCCUGCCCUAUCCUGAGUCCAGCCGGACAGGACACCUGACAACUCAAAAUGCCAUUCCCUUAGCAGCAUGUAACCUAACGGAAUAUCCUUGAAGGUUUUCUUUUUCUUUGUCAAUAUUCCUGCUUUCACCCAAUGUCAAGGAUUUCCAGCCUGUUUCCUUUACUCCCUUUAUGCCCAUGUAGAAUAUCUGAUAAAAUUAUAAUACUAUAGUCUAAGUGUGCAGAACAGAAUACAAAUAGAUCUGUAAGUCAACUCCAGCCAGUAGGAAAAGGGGACCUUUUAGGAAACAUUAGCCGAACAAUGAGCUCAGUGCUUUUGCAUCUUACCUGGGAAUAUCUUCCAGGUUCAUUUGUCAAUGUGAAUUAUCUGUUACACUCAGUAUCAAAGUCUGUCUUACAAACUCAAGGACUCUAUCAUAAGUUAUAAUAUUCUCAACAAUAUUGGCAGACUCCUCCAUUUAGUUGAGAAUAAUAUUGGUUCUCUUGAUAUGAAGUUAUGAACUUCUGGUCACCUUUUUCUUGUCUUUUGCAAGUAGAAAGCAUUGAUUUGCUUCUGAACAUAUGCCUUUGAGCGCAUUCCCCACUGUGAAGAAACUCUAAGAGUCUGAUAAUUUAUCAAAUCAAUUUUAAGUAAACAAAAGCAAGACUCAUUUGCAAUCAUUGCCAGAAUUAAUAAAAAUAUCAUUCUAAGGAUAUUUAAUGUGCUUAAGUAAUCAUCAGUAAAAAAAAAUCAGAUUAUUCCAUUUUAAUUUCAGCUCACAGUGUUGAGAUAUAUAGACAGAAUAUAAUAUUCAACUUUAAAUAAAUAAACAUGAGUCCAAACUAUCUGAGUUGAAAUUAGCACUUCCCAUUCUGUAUAUGAAGUUUGAGGCUUACCUGGAGAAAGCAGUUAUUCUAAUCAAAACCCAAGUCAAACCUAGCAUAUGAGCCCACCUCUUCUUUAUCCCAUUAAUAUCUGCUCAGCUUACCUUCCACAACCCAUGGGGUGAGGCAGCAGACUCCCAGGAAAGUCAGGAGGAGAAGUCUCAUGGCUGAGGUCUUGCUGGGCUGUGCAGGAAGAAUGUGGCGCAGACUCCCCGGGAGCCCCUUUUAUUACCCUCAAUGUUGUGAGGCUAAGGUCGGAUCUUCCAUCCUGAAGCCAGUCCGUGUCAUGGCUCAGUGUGAUAACUGGGCAAAGGAAAUGAGGUGGUAUGGUCACGGUGGUCCAUCCCACCUGCUGCCUGGGACUGAAGGCGUCGACAACCACAAAUCAGCCCCCGGUGGCCCUGCCUGACUCCACAGGAAAGCAAAGAGCUUGCUGCUGUUCUGGCUUCUCCUUCUUCAUCUCCUCCUUCCUUAGCCUUGCUCAGGUUGCACCCAUUUCUUCAACAGGAGGAAGAACAACAGCAUAUCUCUAUGCAUGCUUGCUGGUUGGGGGAAACAGACAUACACUGGUCUGGUUAAGCUUAUUGCUGUUCUACAAUCUUAUCUUAGAAAAAAAAAAAAGACUUCUAUCCCCAGCACCCGCAUCUGUGCGCUUCACAGUCACUUAUCAGUCCUGCUCCAGGGAAUCUGAUAGCCUCCUCUGAUCUCCAUGAGCACCUGACUACAGGUGCAGGUAGACUCACAUACAUACAAGUAAGUAAAUAGAAUAAAAGUUCCAGAAGUCUCCCUUCUAAGGGUGUUCAUGUACACAAUCAUGAUCAUGACAAUUGCUGUUUCAGCAAAUUAAAAAGUUAAAUAGCUGCUCCUGUUUCUUCUGUCUUUGCUCUUGAACUUUGAGCAAGCUUACAUGCAUUUAAUAGCCUCCUCUGCUACUACAACACAGAUACAGCUAUAAGGCUGUUUUUUUCAAUAGUAUAAUCUGGCCUGAUUCCAUUAAUAAUUUGGAAGAUGGAUAGUGGGAGAAAGCAUACUGCUGUACUUGUAGCUCUUGCUACCUUUAUAUAAUCUUCCCAAAAUAUAGUUUUCAUUUGCAAUGUCUCCAACAGAGAUUAAGUAUAUCGAUUAUACCAACCUUUCUGAUAUUCCAUUUUAGUUUUGUUUCUUAGUUUAUAUAGUUAUCAAUAAAGUAUGUUUACUG